rnacentral:rRNA from 1 species
CAGCUGAUGCAGCGACGCCGCGUGAGGGAUGGAGGCCUUCGGGUUGUAAACCUCUUUUAUCGGGGAGCAAGCGAGAGUGAGUUUACCCGUUGAAUAAGCACCGGCUAACUACGUGCCAGCAGCCGCGGUAAUACGUAGGGUGCAAGCGUUAUCCGGAAUUAUUGGGCGUAAAGGGCUCGUAGGCGGUUCGUCGCGUCCGGUGUGAAAGUCCAUCGCUUAACGGUGGAUCCGCGCCGGGUACGGGCGGGCUUGAGUGCGGUAGGGGAGACUGGAAUUCCCGGUGUAACGGUGGAAUGUGUAGAUAUCGGGAAGAACACCAAUGGCGAAGGCAGGUCUCUGGGCCGUUACUGACGCUGAGGAGCGAAAGCGUGGGGAGCGAACAGGAUUAGAUACC